AGUGAACGCUGGCGGUAGGCCUAACACAUGCAAGUCGAACGGCAGCACAGUAAGAGCUUGCUCUUACGGGUGGCGAGUGGCGGACGGGUGAGGAAUACAUCGGAAUCUACUUUUUCGUGGGGGAUAACGUAGGGAAACUUACGCUAAUACCGCAUACGACCUACGGGUGAAAGCAGGGGAUCUUCGGACCUUGCGCGAUUGAAUGAGCCGAUGUCGGAUUAGCUAGUUGGCGGGGUAAAGGCCCACCAAGGCGACGAUCCGUAGCUGGUCUGAGAGGAUGAUCAGCCACACUGGAACUGAGACACGGUCCAGACUCCUAAGGGAGGCCGCAGUGGGGAAUAUUGGACAAUGGGGGCAAGCCUGAUCCAGCCAUACCGCGUGGGUGAAGAAGGCCUUCGGGUUGUAAAGCCCUUUUGUUGGGAAAGAAAAGCAGCAGGUUAAUACCCCGCUGUUCUGACGGUACCCAAAGAAUAAGCACCGGCUAACUUCGUG
rnacentral:rRNA from 1 species